GGAACUCUCCAGGGAUGAAGGAGGAGGAGGAGAAACAGCUCCAACCAUAUAAGAUUGAAGGAUAUAGGUGGAGGCCAGGUUCCUAACUUUUGUUUCAGUUCUCAAGGCUGGAAAUGUUUUUUAACCCCUCUACAUCCCAGCCCACCCACAGAAGCUAGGUUCUAGUUCAAGGACUGACACUGAUAUCUCACAAGAUUCUUCCCUGAAGACUCCUUGCGUGUCCAGCGGAAAUCUCUGCUGUGUCCUAACGUGGGGCGGCCACCCACAGGGAUGUUGGAGGAAGCCACCAGUUCUAACAGGCUGUAAGAUUCUCUUCUUCAGAGCUUCCUCUCCCCAAGCAGCACAGCGUGAUGGAAUGGGUUUCUCAUCUGCGUCACCUGGU